rnacentral:tRNA from 1 species
UAGAUUGAAGCCAGUUGUUUUAGGUGAUUAGCUGUUAACUAAUAUUUUGUAGGUUAAAAUCUUACCAAUCUAG